UACGUAGGUGGCAAGCGUUGUCCGGAUUUACUGGGCGUAAAGGGCGUGCAGGCGGUUUGUUAAGUGCAGGGUGAAAGCCCACGGCUCAACCGUGGAGGGUCAUUGGAAACUGGGAGACUUGAGUGCAGAAGAGAAGAGCGGAAUUCCACGUGUAGCGGUGAAAUGCGUAGAGAUGUGGAGGAACACCAGUGGCGAAGGCGGCUCUUUGGUCUGUAACUGACGCUGAGGCGCGAAAGCGUGGGGAGCGAACAGG
rnacentral:rRNA from 1 species